CCCCAUCCAUUAAAGGCAAGAGAGUGAAAAGUGGGAGAGAAAGCUCCCAAGUUCAACAGCAGUGACCUAGGGUCAUGCAGUGAGGACUUACAAAGUCCAAGAAGAAAGCAUUUGGAGAAGUGCUACACAUGCUCAACUGAACUUCCUGUCAAAUUGUUCUCACUCGUUUUGGCACAAGUCUGCUUAAGCCAUCUCUCAUUAACAUUUACUCUUGCCCGAAGCCCUCUAUGCCCCCAACCCCUGCUAAUCUUCCACAAGCAAGCUGAUCACACUGGGAUUUCCUUUUCCCAGACACGUUUGAUUCUCACUUUCUCCUGAACCUAGAAAUGUGCUUCCCACCAAAGCAUGCCAGGCACUAAUUCAUCCCUACUGAAAGGGGCUGCUAAAAGCGCAUCUUCUUCCAAAUGGUAGUGAGGUGAUCCUUUCUCUUUCUUUUUUUUUUUUUUUUUUUACUUUUAGCUACCCCUCAAUUCUGGUGUUCAGUAACAAUGUAUUCCACUUAAAAGAGAGAAAUCAUAUUAAUUAUUCUAAGAUAUAAACACUUAAUUUUAUUCA
rnacentral:antisense_RNA from 1 species